UAUUGCGCAAUGGGCGAAAGCCUGACGCAGCAACGCCGCGUGAGUGAUGAAGGCCUUCGGGUCGUAAAGCUCUGUCGGAGGGAACGAAUGCUCUUGAGGUUAAUAGCCUCAGGAGGUGACGGUACCCUCAAAGGAAGCACCGGCUAACUCCGUGCCAGCAGCCGCGGUAAUACGGAGGGGGCUAGCGUUGUUCGGAAUUACUGGGCGUAAAGCGCACGUAGGCGGACUGUUAAGUCGGGGGUGAAAUCCUGGGGCUCAACCUCAGAAUUGCCUCCGAUACUGGCAGUCUCGAGUGCGGGAGAGGUGAGUGGAAUUCCCAGUGUAGAGGUGAAAUUCGUAGAUAUUGGGAAGAACACCAGUGGCGAAGGCGGCUCACUGGCCCGUAACUGACGCUGAGGUGCGAAAGCGUGGGGAGCAAAC
rnacentral:rRNA from 1 species